UGUAUAGGUGGGAUAUCAUCGCGGUGUGAUAGAGAUGUAUAGGUGGGAUAUCAUCACUGUGUGAUAGAGAUGUAUAGGUGGGAUAUCAUCACUGUGUGAUAGAGAUGUAUAGGUGGGAUAUCAUCACUGUGUGAUAGAGAUGUAUAGGUGGGAUAUCAUCACUGUGUGAUAGAGAUGUAUAGGUGGGAUAUCAUCGCUGUGUGAUAGAGAUGUAUAGGUGGGAUAUCAUCGCUGUGUGAUAGAGAUGUAUAGGUGGGAUAUCAUCACUGUGUGAUAGAGAUGUAUAGGAGGGAUAUCAUCGCUGUGUGAUAGAGAUGUAUAGGUGGGAUAUCAUCACUGUGUGAUAGAGAUGUAUAGGUGGGAUAUCAUCACUGUGUGAUAGAGAUGUAUAGGAGGGAUAUCAUCGCGGUGUGAUAGAGAUGUAUAGGUGGGAUAUCAUCGCUGUGUGAUAGAGAUG